GGUACGGAUUUACUUACAGUAUGUACCUUUGGAGCCUAAUAAUUACAGUAAACUAACCAAUUAUUAUCAUCUCCAGGAGCCUGGUUGACUGAAACGUUUUUACAGCAGAAUGAGAAUAAACCCAAAGUUAUAUUAUUUAGUCCAAAGCAUAAAACCUAUCUGCUUUAUUUUGUCUUGUCAAGUAGUUUUAAUCAGGCAAAAGUUAACAGGCUCUGUCUAUUGACUCUCUAUUGAUUGAUAUUCUUUCUAAUUUCACCUU